rnacentral:rRNA from 1 species
GCCUCGUCAUCUAAUUAGUGACGCGCAUGAAUGGAUUAACGAGAUUCCUACUGUCCCUAUCUACUAUCUAGCGAAACCACAGCCAAGGGAACGGGCUUGGAAUAAUUAGCGGGGAAAGAAGACCCUGUUGAGCUUGACUCUAGUCUGGCAGUGUAAGGAGACAUAAGAGGUGUAGCAUAAGUGGGAGAUAUAUUGGUUUCGACUAAAUAUAUCAAAAAUGAAAUACCACUACUCUUAUUGUUUCCUUACUUACUUGAUAAAAUGGAACGUGUAUCAUUCACUUAGCCAUUAUACGGAUAUAUUUAUAUAUUUUAUGGUAUUUUGUUUUGAUGCGAGCUUCUUGUUUAAAGUACCAAGAGUUUGUUAUAUACACCAAACAAAUAUCAAUUAAAUUUGCUUUCCAUUAAUAAUGGUUUGUUAAAUAUUAAUUGAAUUUGGUAUAACUAUUAUACUCAGGUAUGAUCCAAUUCAAGGACAUUGCCAGGUGGGGAGUUUGACUGGGGCGGUACAUCUCUCAAAUAAUAACGGAGGUGUCCCAAGGCCAGCUCAGUGCGGACAGAAACCACACAUAGAGCAAAAGGGCAAAUGCUGACUUGAUCUCGGUGUUCAGUACAUACAGAGACAGCAAAAGCUCGGCCUAUCGAUCCUUUUGGUUUAAAGAGUUU